GCAUUCAUCACUUAGAAAUAGUGGAGUUACAAAGAUUGUUAGCUCAUCUGCCAAAAGGGCAAGUGAUGAGAUGAAGUUGCAAGACUUGAUUUUUAUCAACAUACAUUUGAACAAUUCAUUCAAAAAAAUUACGAAGACUGCUUCUCCAUUCAGCAAAAAUUAGAGGGAUGAAUCGCCUUUUGCUGCCAUGGUGUUGCUUCUCUUCAUCCAGUUAUCCGGCAUACGGAUAUUAUAAGUAGAACCAAAAAGGGAUGUGCUAACCUUUACAAACAAAAACUAAACAGGCACAAAGAAAGUAAAACUACAAACAUAAUCGGGUUCGUUGCUCUUCUCUUUCUUCUCCAGUUAAUGUUGAGGAACUCACGCCUCUUUCAGCUAAACAUCUCUUAUAUGGAACAAAACCCUUCACACGCUUCGUGGAAUUUGCUCUUCGCUCAAACAAAGAGGGUACGCUGGCUCUAACCGACUCUUCUACCACAUUUCUACUACUCUGAGCUUCAAUUUCCAUGUUCUUUUCUCCACUCAACUCUGCAUCUACUGAUUCUGCAUUGGAGCCGGUCGAAGACCCUUCCUUUUGAGUUUCCUUUCCUUCCAAAUAUCUGUCAUUAAAGAGUGGACGUCCCUUCAUUGGAAUUGGGCUAUGCACCUGAGUGCAAGGAACUGCACAUGAUGAUCCCCACGGCAAAUGAGUAGUUGCAACGCCACUUUGGUUAGGCCCUGAACUUCCAUUUGGUGUGGUAAAGUAAUAUGACGGCGUAGGAGGGACGAUAGAAAAGGUACUUUGAGGACAUUCUGAAUCCCAGGGCAAAUAUUUUGCAGGGAAGGAGCUUCGAGUCAACGUCUCGUCUGUCGGUGGCAUAUGAGCAUCAGUAACUAAUACGGUUUUACCAAACAACUUCAGACACUGUGUGGAUGAUGCCUCAUCCGAGCCUUCUUUCACAAAAUCAUUGUCUUCCGGAAACAACUCUAGUUUCACACAAGCCUGAUUGGCCGGAUUUGAAGUAGCAUAAGCUCGGGCAGGUGACGAUCUGCUCUCCUCUACAACCAAAUCGAAUGGUUCAGAAAGUACAAGAUCACCAGAAUUCUCAGCGACAGCUGAGGAAACAGG
rnacentral:misc_RNA from 1 species